ACGGAAGGCAGCAGUGAGGGAUAUUGGUCAAUGGAGGCAACUCUGAACCAGCCAUCUCGCGUGAAGGAAUACGGCCCUACGGGUCUUAAACUUCUUUUAUAGGGGGAUAAAGUGAGCCACGAGUGGCUUUUUGUAGGUACCCUAUGAAUAAGCAUCGGCUAACUCCGUGCCAGCAGCCGCGGUAAUACGGAGGAUGCGAGCGUUAUCCGGAUUUCUUGGGUUUAAAGGGUGCGCAGGCGGCACGUUAAGUCAGCGGUGAAAUGUCGGGGCUCAACCCGGGCACUGCCGUUGAAACUGGCGAGCUUGAGUACGGAUGAAGUCGGCGGAAUGUGAUGUGUAGCGGUGAAAUGCUUAGAUAUGUCACAGAACAACGAUUGCGAAGGCAGCUGACUAAUCCGCAACUGACGCUCAGGCACGAAAGCGUGGGGAUCGAACAGGAUGAGAUA
rnacentral:rRNA from 1 species